GAUGAACGCUGGCGGCGUGCCUAAUACAUGCAAGUCGAGCGAACAGACGAGGAGCUUGCUCCUCUGACGUUAGCGGCGGACGGGUGAGUAACACGUGGAUAACCUACCUAUAAGACUGGGAUAACUUCGGGAAACCGGAGCUAAUACCGGAUAAUAUAUUGAACCGCAUGGUUCAAUAGUGAAAGACGGUUUUGCUGUCACUUAUAGGUGGAUCCGCGCCGCAUUAGCUAGUUGGUAAGGUAACGGCUUACCAAGGCAACGAUGCGUAGCCGACCUGAGAGGGGGAUCGGCCACACUGGAACUGAGACACGGUCCAGACUCCUACGGGAGGCAGCAGUAGGGAAUCUUCCGCAAUGGGCGAAAGCCUGACGGAGCAACGCCGCGUGAGUGAUGAAGGUCUUCGGAUCGUAAAACUCUGUUAUUAGGGAAGAACAAAUGUGUAAGUAACUAUGCACGUCUUGACGGUACCUAAUCAGAAAGCCACGGCUAACUACGUG
rnacentral:rRNA from 1 species